rnacentral:misc_RNA from 1 species
AAGUCGUAACAAGGUUUCCGUAGGUGAACCUGCGGAAGGAUCAUUAACACGUUAUCCAACGUUAACCAAUGUCAACUGUUUCAAAUCUCUCUUCACGGGAAUGAGCGGACGUAGUAUUCGGAGUGUGUUGAAAGGGCCUUUUUCGGAAGGUGCACUCGUACUAUACAUAUUCGGAGCCGAAAGGCAAUGGUAUGACCGCUGUAUCUGCAGUGAAGACUAAUUCUUGCGCAGGGCCUACCUUACUAAGGAACUGCAAUAGAAAACCUAUUAACUUAUUUCACCUUUUUUGCUAGUUGACUUUUAUAUGUUGUUCUGUUCACAGUUUAUUCUGUGCGGUUCACACGUUUAAUUAUUUGAACGUUAAAAAUACAACUCUUAGCAAUGGAUAUCUUGGUUCUC